rnacentral:rRNA from 1 species
AAUGAACGUUGGCGGCGUGGAUUAGGCAUGCAAGUCGAGCGAGAAUCUGUGAAUUGAAGCUUCGGCCGAUUGAAGCAGAGGACAGCGGCGAAAGGGAGAGUAACGCGUGGAUUAUCUGCCUCUAGGUCUGGGAUAGCUGCGGGAAACUGCAGGUAAUACCAGAUAAUGUCUUCGGACCAAAGGUGUGAUUCCUCCUAGAGAUGAGUCCGCGUCCUAUUAGCUUGUUGGUGGGGUAACGGCCUACCAAGGCUUCGAUGGGUACCGGGCGCGAGAGCGUGGCCCGGCUCACUGGGACUGAGACACUGCCCAGACGUCUACGGACGGCUGCAGUCGAGAAUCUUCCGCAAUGGGCGAAAGCCUGACGGAGCGACGCCGCGUGCGGGAUGAAGGCCUUCGGGUUGUAAACCGCUGUCAGUUGGGAGGAAAUCUUAUGGGGUUAUCCCCAUAAGUUGACCUAUCUUCAGAGGAAGACCGGGCUAAGUUCGUGCCAGCAGCCGCGGUAAGACGAACCGGUCAAACGUUAUUCGGAAUCACUGGGCUUAAAGGGUGCGUAGGCGGCUUGGCAAGUUGGGUGUGAAAUCCUGGGGCUCAACUCCAGGAUUGCGCUCAAAACUGCCAGGCUUGAGA